rnacentral:rRNA from 1 species
GAUGAACGCUGGCGGCGUGCCUAAUACAUGCAAGUCGAGCGAACAGACGAGGAGCUUGCUCCUCUGACGUUAGCGGCGGACGGGUGAGUCACACGUGGAUAACCUACCUAUAAGACUGGGAUAACUUCGGGAAACCGGAGCUAAUACCGGAUAAUAUAUUGAACCGCAUGGUUCAAUAGUGAAAGACGGUUUUGCUGUCACUUAUAGAUGGAUCCGCGCCGCAUUAGCUAGUUGGUAAGGUAACGGCUUACCAAGGCGACGAUGCGUAGCCGACCUGAGAGGGUGAUCGGCCACACUGGAACUGAGACACGGUCCAGACUCCUACGGGAGGCAGCAGUAGGGAAUCUUCCGCAAUGGGCGAAAGCCUGACGGAGCAACGCCGCGUGAGUGAUGAAGGUCUUCGGAUCGUAAAACUCUGUUAGUAGGGAAGAACAAAUGUGUAAGUAACUAUGCACGUCUUGACGGUACCUAAUCAGAAAGCCACGGCUAACUACGUG